CAUUCAAAUUUCUGCCCUAUCAACUUUCGACGGCUGGGUCUUGGCCAACCGUGGUGACAACGGGUAACGGAGGGUUAGGGCUCGACCCCGGAGAAGGAGCCUGAAAAANGGNUACUACAUCCAAGGAAGGCAGCAGGCGCGCAAAUUACCCAAUCCCGACACGGGGAGGUAGUGACAAUAAAUACUGAUACAGGGCUCUUUCGGGUCUUGUAAUUGGAAUGAGUACAAUUUAAAUCCCUUAACGAGGAACAAUUGGAGGGCAAGUCUGGUGCCAGCAGCCGCGGUAAUUCCAGCUCCAAUAGCGUAUAUUAAAGUUGUUGAGGUUAAAAAGCUCGUAGUUGAACCUUGGGCCUAGCCGGCCGGUCCCCCUCACCGCGUGCACUGG
rnacentral:rRNA from 1 species